rnacentral:rRNA from 1 species
UACGUAGGGGUGCAAGCGUUAAUCGGAAUUACUGGGCGUAAAGCGUGCGCAGGCGGUGAUGUAAGACAGGUGUGAAAUCCCCGGGCUUAACCUGGGAACUGCAUUUGUGACUGCAUCGCUGGAGUGCGGCAGAGGGGGAUGGAAUUCCGCGUGUAGCAGUGAAAUGCGUAGAUAUGCGGAGGAACACCGAUGGCGAAGGCAAUCCCCGUGGGCCUGCACUGACGCUGAGGAGCGAAAGCAUGGGGAGCGAACAGG